GCCCCGGUGUGUCUCCUCGUCUCCACACAACCAGGAUGCUCCACUAACGUCCUGGUGUUUUAAAACUGCCAGGAAGCACUGCGCAUGCGCUCGAAAUCGCAGUCCUUUACGGAGCAUGCGCUAAAGAAGGUUUGAGACACCUACCUAAUAUGUACCAUUCCUAAUAUGGGUGGCUUUCUGUUUGGCUUUUGGUCACCGCAGGCAGGGACAUCUCUGUAGAAAGUCUAGGAGAGCAGAAGAUAAGGGAGAAAAGGAUCCCUCAUUAUUAGAUUUUAUAUGCUUAAGAGAAACCCUGCAGCAUGAACCCAGCCUAACACUGGACCGAAUAGCACAGCAGACCUACGGAGAGGCUAAUAUUAGUCUUUAUUAGAUUUACACCAUUUGCAGCAUAUGUUUGUACAUAAGUCAGAGUUGCCAGGUUUUUGGAAUUGUGCCGGAAAUAAUUUUUGUCAUCUCAGU